rnacentral:misc_RNA from 1 species
AACCUAGCACACCUGCGGUGUGUACCUGCGGAGGGAUCAUUACCUAGAGUUGUAGGCUUUGCCUGCUAUCUCUUACCCAUGUCUUUUGAGUACCUUACGUUUCCUCGGUGGGCUCGCCCACCGAUUGGACAAAUUUAAACCCUUUGCAGUUGAAAUCAGCGUCUGAAAAAACUUAGUAGUUACAACUUUUAACAAUGGAUCU